AAUUCCAAUUGAUAAUUGAUGAAAACGUAAUAUUUUGUAGAGAAAAAGAAAAAAAACAGCAACUACGUUGUCGUCGGGAGAUAGCAACAGUUUCAGAGAAAUUGAGCUCUUUCAUUGGCGACGGACAUUCUCCAUUCUGUCGUUUAGGCCAUGGCUGCUACAGCUACAAAGAAAGUUAUAGCUAUAUGUCAAUCAAGAGGUGAAUUUGUAACCAAUAUAGAUGGAUCAAUGUCUUACAAUGGUGGUGAUGCUUAUGCAAUUGACAUUGAUCAGGAGACAAGUUUGUCUGAUUUUAAGUCUGAAAUUGCCGAAACAUUUAACUGCAAUGUAAGCACCAUGAACAUCAAGUACUUCCUUCCUGGAAACAAGAAAACACUCAUUACAGUGUCAAAAGACAAGGAUUUACAGCGAAUGGUUAGUUUUCUUGGAGAUGCUAGCACUGUUGAUGUGUUUGUUAUAAAUGAGGAAGUGGUGGCUCGGAACACAUCCAACAUGCCUGCUAGUAGGUCAAGCAGAACAACUGUGUCAGAAGCUGUUGUUCCUGUUGUUAUCCCUAUUAAUGUAGCAGCCAUUGAUGCUGAGCAAUGCAUUGAUCAAGUUGAAGUGGAUGUAGCUAAUGAAGCCCCUGCACAAUCUCUUUGUUCUGGGGCCAAUGAUGACAAGCGUCAAAGAGCGGCACAGCAGUGGGAAAAUACUAUCACUGGUGUAGACCAAAGGUUUAAUAGUUUUAGUGAAUUCCGAGAGGCAUUGCAUAAAUACUCCAUUGCUCAUGGUUUUGCGUACAGAUAUAAAAAAAAUGAUAGUCAUCGUGUCACGGUCAAAUGUAAAUCUCAAGGCUGUCCCUGGAGAAUAUAUGCGUCUAAGUUGUCAACCACUCAGUUGAUUUGCAUCAAGAAAAUGACCAGAGAUCAUACUUGUGAAGGAUCUGCUGUCAAAGCUGGGUAUCGAGCAACUAGAGGCUGGGUGGGAAAUAUUAUAAAAGAGAAAUUGAAAGCUUCACCCAAUUACAGGCCAAAGGAUAUCGCAGACGACAUAAAGCGCGAGUAUGGGAUUCAGUUAAAUUAUUCUCAAGCAUGGCGUGCAAAAGAAAUUGCUAGAGAGCAACUCCAAGGCUCUUAUAAGGAGGCAUAUACUCAAUUGCCAUUCUUUUGCGAGAAGAUAAAAGAGACUAACCCGGGGAGUUUUGCAACAUUCACGACAAAAGAGGACUCAAGUUUCCAUCGUCUUUUUGUAUCAUUUCAUGCCUCAAUAACUGGUUUCCGGCAAGCCUGUCGCCCUCUCAUUUUCCUCGACAGUAUUCUUUUAAACUCAAAGUAUCAAGGGGAAUUAUUGGCUGCAACUUCUGUCGAUGGAAAUGAUGGCAUUUUUCCCGUAGCCUUUGCUGUUGUAGAUGCCGAAACUGAAGACAACUGGCAUUGGUUUCUUCAGGAGCUGAAAUCAGCUUUAUCGACAUCUGAACAGAUUACAUUUGUUGCAGAUUUUCAGAAUGGGUUAAAAAAAUCACUGUCUGAGAUAUUUGAAAACUGCUACCACGGCUAUUGUUUACGUCACCUUGCUGACAAACUGAACAAGGACUUAAAGGGACAAUUAUCUCAUGAGGCCAGACGUUUCAUGGUUAAUGAUUUUUAUGCUGCUGCUUACGCAUCCAAACUGGAGAUUUUUGAACGUAGUAUUGAGAAUAUAAAAGGUAUUUCUCCUGAAGCAUACAACUGGGUCAUACAAAGUGAGCCAGAGCACUGGUCCAAUGCAUUCUUCAAUGGAGCUAGGUAUAAUCUUAUGACAUCGAAUUUUGGGCAGCAAUUUUAUAGUUGGGUGUCAGAGGCGAACGAGUUGCCAAUCACUCAAAUGAUUGAUGUAUUACGAGGUAACAUGAUGGAAACAAUUAGCACACGACGAGAAAAGUCUAAUCAAUGGAUAACAAAAUUGACACCAUCCAAAGAGGAAAUUAUCCAAAAGGAAACAUCAGACGCUCGCUCGCUACAAGUGUUGCUUUCACAAGGUACCACAUUUGAAGUCUGUGGACAAUCUGUUGAAAUUGUUGAUAUUGAUAAUUGGGAUUGUAGCUGCAAGGGAUGGAAACUUACUGGCCUUCCUUGCUGCCAUGCUAUUGCUGUCUUUGAAUGUGUUGGCAGGGACCUAUAUGAUUAUUGUUCCAGAUACUUGACAGUUGAUAAUUACAGAUUAACAUAUACAGAACCAAUUCACGCUCUGCCGGAUAUUGACAAACCAGUCCAGGUUGAAUCGGCUAUGGAAGUUGUUACUGUAACCCCUCCACCAACUAAGCGCCCUCCUGGUCGGCCAAAAUCAAAGCAGGUUGAAUCGAUAGACCUAAUUAAACGUCAGCUUCAAUGUGGUAAAUGCAAGGGACUUGGCCACAAUCGGAAGACAUGCAAACUUUCAUAGUUUUGCUUCAUAGUGUUUGACAGUGAUAUGCGUCGUAACUAGACACGCCUUCGAUCUGAAGUGUUAGUGCUACAUAGUUAGUUACAUGGGCCAUCCAUUUGAACUCAAGGAAUCUUCAAUGAAGCAAGAUGCAAAUAUUUGAGCUAUUUCCAACCAUGAUAGAGAAUGGCUAUGGAGAAACGUUUUAGUGGUUGUAUGGAUAUUUUGUUUAAGUAGUCUCCAAAUUCACGUGCUUCCAACUUAGAGAUUAGUUAGCUUUUCUUUUCUUGUUUUACUCUAUCAGUUAGUUAUUGUUAUCCGGUAGAGAACAAAUCACUUCAUCUGGCAAACUAGAUCUGUUUUUGUGUUUAGAUAGAUUCUGUGUGUAGGCUUAUGUUGCCAUUUUCUAGUUAUUUAAAUUUAUUGAUUGGAUCACUGCGGUUCGAAUGAUAUAUAUUUUAGAGAUAUUUCAUGAUGAUAUAAGAAUAGUUUCUCCUGGUUGGAGGCAGCAGAUGUAGCUUUUGUUUAA